AUACCUAGAGAAAUAUUUAAGAAGUAACAUAUUUAUAAUAUGGGAAGAAAUGGCUUAUAUAAUUGAAAAGCUAAGGUAAUAUUUGAGACUAAAGAUCUAGGGGCCAGGACUUGUGAGCAGGGCAGAGUGUAAUUACGCAUGCAAAUUAAUGGUUUAAGUGUAUAUAUACAAGUAUUUGCUGCCUUCUCUGACUGCUUGCUGGUCUGUACACUGCCAGUGUAUACCAGGGAAGGUGACCUAUACACUCCUUUUAUGGGCACAGACUCCUAGUACAGUAUUGAAGCCAUGUUUUCCUACCCACACAGGUCAUUUCAUGACAUAGAGAAGAGAAUGGCUGAAAUACUGUCCUGCCAAACUGUGGAUCAGUUUCUGGGUUGCUCCAAGCACCUCCUGGUUGCUCUUUUAGGAAGCCAGGAAGAAUGUUUUUCAUGGCAUUGUGGCACUUUUCUCAUUUUUCUUAUGGAUUCUUCCCCCCCCCUUUGCUAUCUACUAUAUUAUUCAUUAUAUGUGCAUUAAGUCUCAUCACAGGACUUGGUAUGUCAGAACUGGUGGAUGUAAAGGUAAGCAGGGGAGCAGUUUCAGAUGCCAGAAUGAGGGCUGGGAGGGGGGUUUAAACUUCAAGCAUAAGUAUCUCUGGAGAAGCUGCAUAGCAGCCUGCCUAGCUGGUCACUGUGAGACUGGUGGCACUGGGAGCCUGAGUGGGAGCCCCAAAUAGAGGGGGACAUGGAGGUCAUAGCCUACUUGGAUGGACUGAGAGAAGUCCAGAGAGAGAAAAAGAGGAUGAAAGUCAUGGUGGGAAAAUGUAAGGAGAACACAGAAUGAUGGGAAACAAGGCGGUCUUCUGAAAGCAAUCAGUUGAGACUUCUAGCAAGUGGAGAGAAAGCUCAACAGGGUGGUGGAUCUUAAAUGGAUGGAGUGAAGGGAAGACAGGUGUAGCAGAGAAAGAACAGGAGGGAGAGACUGAGUAGCACAUAGAGAGUAGACACACAGGAAGAGCUAUGUGUUUUUGCAUAAUACAACACACCCACAACAAUACACACUAAUCACCCAUCUACAGGAAAAGACAAAAGCCUAUCUCACAGCCAUAAAUACUGCACUCCCAAGCCAACUACACCAGACUACAAGUUGCUCUCCUCUGAAGAUGCCGGCCACAGAGCCCGAAAAACCCAGAACAACCAUUGUUUUUGCGUACUUCACCAAUUUUGGGAACUGCCCCUUAUCCUUCAUUUCCCAUUUGUUCUACCAGCAACAUGCAGCCCCUAUGCAGCUUCCAACAGACAACUCCUAGUGAAAUGCAGUCCUUGACAGAAAACCAGUUCCCUAUUCCUCAUGAAUGUCCAGAGUGGGGAGAAAGAAAUAAAGAUGCUCCCCCCACAUCCUAGAUGUAUUAA
rnacentral:lncRNA from 1 species